rnacentral:ncRNA from 1 species
UAUCGAAAUGAGGCGCCUCGCGCGGCGUGGGUGAGAAAUACCCUUUGAACCUGAUCUGGAUAAUGCCAGCGCAGGGAAGCGUUCGGGCCCGGCGGC